UGGCAUUCUGUGACGGCAUUUGUUAAUUUGAUACGGCACGACCUGAAGUUAAUUACUAGAUUUUAGUUGAUAAGAAAUGACACGAUUAUCAAUUAUGUAGAAUAUGUGUCCCUGUUUAUUAAUCGUAUUUGGUUCGGAAUUAGAGUUACUCGCAAACUUGUCAAUUGACAAAGUUUACUAAUAUACACACAAACACACGUAUGUACAAGGUUCAUUCUCUAGAAAGAUGUGAGGAGAUUGGCGGAAACGUUUAAUUUUGUUAGGAUAGAUGUCUGUGGUAUUGAGUUAUUGACAUUUACACUCUAUCACAUGUUAUAGCCAUUAUAGUGAAUUUUUCUGUCAUCCGUGGAAAUAGUCCAAUUAAGACGAAUUACGAUAAAUUAUUCUCUUCAUCUGAUGUAUGGUUGAUUUUUUUUCUCCAUUAAUUGUUCUACUUAUUAUUUGCUUGAUUGUUUAUUCUCAUAGGAUCUUGGGAGGGACUAAAAAAAAUAUAACAAGUGAUGGCAGAUCUUAAGGUGGCAAUACAAAACAAAUGUGUCAGCAGGCAGAUACGAUCAAACUUGGUAAAGCUUAAUGUCGAAAUGGCUGCUUGUGGUGGUUUACUUCUGCAUGACAAAAGUAAGUUUGUGGGUAUUUUUUGCUUGUCCCCUUGGCAGUCAAACUUUCUUUUGUACCUUGAAACAGUUUGAUUAGCUCUCAUAAGCCAAUCAGGUCUUGUGUAUAGGUUUGAUUAGCAACUGGAAGUUUAACCAGGACUUAGGUGGAGUUGCUGAACCACCUAAUAUCGCUAGUGCCUUCACUCGCUCCAUUUUAUCACUUUAUAUUUUUAUAUCUUUAUUUUUCUACAGGUUUAAAUUUAUUGUUGCAUCUCCACUUGCUUCCCUUAUUAUUUCCUCUUAUUAUAUUGCUUACACUUUUGAGGUUUAUUCGUUUGAGAAAGAAUUGGUCUUAUACUUAAUAUAGUCACAAGUUUUGUUUAGGGUAACUGACAUGUUUGUUUUUAAAAAAAAUGAAAAGAAAGAGGAGGAUAGAGGAAAGAAAUGAUGUUUUUAAUGAUAAAUUAAAUAAUAAAAUUGAGAUUAACUCUUUUUUUUUCUAAUUUUCUUUUCCCUUCUUUCCGUUUUAUUUUUCUCCUCUCCUUUCGUUUCUUCUAACUAAAUGCGGACUAGGAUUUAUGUAGAGAAAGAAAUUAAACUAAAUAAUUUUCAGAAUCCUUCUCUCAUAUAUCUACAAGUAUUAUUAGCUUUCCAUUGGAAUCGGCUGUCGUCAAAACAACUUGUUUUGAUAACAGAUAGUUGAAUCAAAUAAUUCAAUUACUUGUUAAACAAUAGCUAUUCAUUUGUAUUGAUAUUGCUUUAGUUGUUUGACAUUUAGAAACACUUGGUUUAGCAAAUAAAUCCAUAAUGUGAUUCCCCUUCUUAUGUGGGUUUGGGUAAGUUAAGUUUGAAACUUGGUUUAAAAAUGUAGUAAAUAGCUUUAAUUGGUAAGGAGCUGUUAUGUAAUUGAUAAUGAUCUAAUGAUCCAAGAGUGAUCAUGGCAAUGGGAGCUAAUGCAUCAACUGUAGAGGGAUUUUAUACACACGUCUUCUUCUCUGAUGGUAAUGAAUAUGCCUAUUAGAAGGCAAUGAUGUAAAUUAAGAAUGCAACUCCACAAAGAUCCAUUUUAGAAUAAGUAGAAGAUCCAUUUUCUUUUUAAUUAUAUCAUAAUGGAUAUUCAUAUAAAAAAAAAAAAUAGAGGGCUUAUGAGGAUUUGGGACGGGGGUGCUAAUAGCUUCAAAAACUGCAAAACUAAACUUGUUUGUGGUUAGGCCGAACCAUGAGCUUUCGUGAAGAGUGUGAUGUCUGGGUAAGGUUUGGGCUGCUUAUUGAACUAGCCCACCUAACGCUCACCCAUCUGAUCUUGGGCCACAAAAUUCCAUAAAACUCAACUCAUACAUACACAAGCCGCCGCUCAAUUAUUGUAUUAAAUUGGGGGGAAAAUCAAUAAAGAAUCUAAAUUUAUUCUAGGAUUAAAUUUUAUACUAGGAAAUAAUGGUAUAAUAUACUAAUAACUCCUAAUGGAGUAAUUUUUUUAAAAAAAAAUCAAUAUUUAUUCAACCUAAAUACGAAACACAUAUCUUACCACAUGAAAAGAAAACUUUAGCUGUAGAAAAAGAUGUAGAUAUAAAUUGUUUUGAUUCUUUAUUAGAAGAAGAAAAAGUAGAAAAUACAAAAGACAUAGCUAGCAAUAAUAGACUAGAAAUCACAGUCCUAACUUGGACAAUAUCUACAUGUCGUAAUGUUUCCGGGGCACAGUCUAAGCAUCCUAAUGUUGUGUUAUAGGGCAACUAGGUCAUAGAAUAUAGCAUAGACUUUCACUAGGUCUUAAAUAAUUGAAGCAUAAAGCUUUCACUUAUUAUGAAAAGGACUUGCAAAAUCUUCGAUUGGGCAUAGAAGAGAUGGGGAUCUCCCCUAUUUUUCCAUGUCCUGCCAUUUUGCCCAUCACUUUCAACAAUUUAUUAGCUGCCCAAAUAUGAAAAUUUGUCCUAUGAUUGAAUGACAACUUUUGUCGUUUUGGAAAGGGACCAUUCUACUCCUAGCAAUUUAUUAGGAUUUUUAGUGUUUUAUUUAAAGCCAAGCAAAUUUGGUUCUUUGGAAGCCAUAGCUUCACCCCAGCCUCACCUAUAAUUUGGGUCUGCCAGGCCUAAAAAUGGGGGAAAUCCAGCUAAGGCUCCCAAAAGGUUUGUCUUCUGCUUAAAUUCAGCAAUAUUGUACUGACAUACAUGUGGUUGGGAUAUUGGGGAGUGGGGACUUACAUAAUGCACUGAAGAUGAAAUAACAUUCUCAAUGAGCGAAGUUUUCGGCAUUGCAAAUCGUCCAUAUGUUACUGUAAUAACCAGUAACAUAAAUGGGCACUAAGUUGUGGUCGAAUUGGUGUUUUCAAUAUUAUUAACAGUACGGCAACUCAAAAUAAUUUUCCUCUAUCAAAGGAUAGUGCGAGUGAAUGUAUUUUUUUCAGGUAUUAUUGAGAGCAUAUGUGUGUGUUGACUAAAUUUUCGUUAGAAUCUAAUUCAAAUUAAUUUGGCAGUUCUAACUUAAUCUAGCUCAAAUCUAAUUCAAACCAAUAAAUUUAUAUUUAAAGGAAGCUUGUGCUAAAUUUGAGUUUAUUUAUUUAUUUAAUUUUUAGAGUAGGUAGUUUAUUUUAGGUACAGUAGGUAGUGAGCUAAAAUUAACAUGCAUAGUGAGCUGAGGUAGUCAUAUGAUAAAUAAUAAGAAGAGCUUAGUAGAGCUCAUAAGGGGUUGAUAUAUUGGACUAAUAUGUGCUCAUGAGUAGCUAAAAUGUACUAGGAAGAUAGCUCAAGUGGUCUCACAGAAUGCUUAGUAUAAUUGGGUACCUCAGGUAAGCUCAUACGUCUACAAGAGCAAAUAAUCACCAAUUUACUAUAUAAAUAAGAGGUUACAUAAGAUUUUAUAUUAUUCGAGAUGAAUAACACACUAGAUAAUUAUAUAAAAAUGUUUGGUGUUAAUAAAAAUAAAGACUAUGAAUAAAGAUAUGGUGAGGAAAAUGAUGAAGGUGGAGAAUAGAAAUGCCUCCAAAAAAUGAAGAGUGGUUAAUUAUCUAAAAGAUAGAAAGAAAAUGAGAGAAGAGGAGGCAAGAAGAUCAUAUACUCUAAUAUGGGAGCAUAAAACAUUUAUACAAUGCAAGCUAAUAGUAAGGAGAGUGCAUAAAAAUUAGGGUUAGAUAUCAUUUUUAGGCUAAAAAGAGAGGAUAUUUUUUAGAGUUAUGUAUCAUAUUUAGGAAAAAAUGACAAGAGUUUAACCAUCAAGUUCCGGAUGGAUUGGUAUGGUUCCUCUAUGCCUAGGACACCAGAAUAUCGAAUCAUGAACGAAGAAAUGUAUGCGAGAAAAAUAUAUUGACUAGUGACUACGUGUAUGUAUGUAUGUAUGUAUACACAUAGACAUGUGAAUCUAUUAAAAGACAGGCAUGGGCCACGCCCCCGUAAAAAAAGUUUUUUUAAUACUCAAUAUUUUAUAUUAUAUUGAUAAUUGCUUAUUUACAUUAAAAUUUUUAUUAAUUUUUUAAAAAAAUUCUUUGGCCCUCUAGCCGAGGUUGGCUUGUUUCCCCCCUACACACACAUAUAUGUGUGUGACGGAUAUACAUUUAACUUCUAAUUAAAACUUACAAUUUCAACGACCCAAAUUAUAUUUCUGAUUCCAUCACUUGCUAUAUGGGACUAUCCUCACCUUAUGGUGAACAUCUUCAAGUUCUUUGUCAAAAAGAAAAAUCAAAAUAAUUAGCUGUUAUGUUGAAGAAAACUAGACGAGUGUAGACUAGAAAGAUAGGACUAGAGUCGUCUGAUAGAAAGUGACCUUUCAUUACUAGACCUUCACCUUCUUGCUAGUCACAUGGAAAGAAAGAAUUGCCCUACCAUCCUCUAUUCAACAGUCAACAUACCUUAGUGUUUGGCCAAAAGAAUAACAGUGGCAAACUAUACCGAAUUUCCUUAAGCAUUCAUUGUCACUUGGGUUUGAUCCAGAGAUUUUCGAGUAAUUUUAUUAAAUUAUUUUAUUUGAGUUCAAAUAUUGAAAGAUGUAAGAAUUAAAACAAAGAUUUAAGUUUUGUUCACAUUUUCAUCUUAAUAUAUAUAAAUAUAUGUGUGUGUAAAAAAUUUAUUAAAACUCAUUAUAAAAUGAGUUGUGCUACACAUUUUAAAAUUUUAUAAAAAAAAAAUCACUUAAAAUUUAUCAAAAAUUAUUAAUUAUUCAAUAAGUGACAUAUUAUGUGUCAAAACAUUUAUGUUGAAAUUUGAAUUAAAAUUUUGAUAUUGCUGCGAAAUAAGGUACUUGUAAAUUUUUAAGUGGUUUUAUUGAAAAAUUGUUUGAAUUUGUCAGCCGUUUGAUAUUUUGAGAAAAUUAAAAAAAUUGAUGGCCGCAUUGAAAUUAACCUUAAAAUUUUUUUUUGAAGGAGUGAGGGCUGACUGGCCGAGGAGUUUGAGGAGAGAAUGUAGAUGGAACAGCCGUUGACAGUUGCCACUUGGCAUGCCCCAAAAAAAGCUAAAAAAGAGUAAUAAAUAAAAAGGCUGAUCUAGAACGACCUACCGUGACUCACAUCUGUGUUGUUUUCUUAGGCCAUAAAGAUUAUGACACGUGUAACGCUCUGCUCAUCCUAGCGUAAUGCAGUGUUCGUAGUCGUACUAAGGAUUUCCCAGUUCUGGCACCAACGCGACUUCCGCUUCUAUCCCACGCGCCGACGUGUUCUCACUCAUUUUUCUUUAAAGACAAUUUUACAAAGAAGAUUAUUAAUUUUAACUACGGUACCGCCAUCAAAUUCCAAAGGAAGAUAAUAGUUAGAUUUUGUUCGUUUUUAUUUAUUUUUAAUCAAUAUAUCUUCUGUUAUUCAAUGUGUAAUUUUUUUUAUUCGUCAAUCAAUUAUUUUAAAAACUAAUUUGUAAUCCAAUUAAUUUGUGUAACGAGUACUUUAAUAAAAGAACAUUAAAUUUAAUAAAAAAAUGUGAUCUUUUUGCAUAUAAAUUGAUUGUUUGAGACAUUUGAAAAAUGAUAAUUAUUUAUUAACGAUCUGUUUUCUAAUCACAAAAAUGAAAUAAAGUAUUAAUAGUGUGUUUACUUUAAGGUUUAUAGAAUGAGAAUGAAAUACAUAUUUACUUGGCAAAUGUGAAUAAAAUGUAUGAGUCUUACAUAAUUUAGGAAUGAGAAUAUGGGGUUUGGGAAUAGGGAUUCUCAUUCUUUGAAUUGACUUUUGUAUUCCUAUAAUUUUUUC
rnacentral:lncRNA from 1 species